rnacentral:rRNA from 1 species
UGCGUAGGCGGAAAAUUAAGUCAGUGGUGAAAUCUUUCGGCUCAACCGAGAAACUGCCAUUGAUACUGUUAAUCUUGAGUUCGGUUGAGGUAGGCGGAAUGUGUAAUGUAGCGGUGAAAUGCUUAGAUAUUACACAGAACACCAAUUGCGUAGGCAGCUUACUAGACCGACACUGACGCUGAGGCACGAAAGCGUGGGGAGCGAACAGGAUUAGAUACCCUGGUAGUCC